rnacentral:rRNA from 1 species
AUGAACGCUGGCGGCGUGCCUAAUACAUGCCAGUCGAGCGAACAGACGAGGAGCUUGCUCCUCUGACGUUAGCGGCGGACGGGUGAGUAACACGUGGAUAACCUACCUAUAAGACUGAGAUAACUUCGGGAAACCGGAGCUAAUACCGGAUAAUAUAUUGAACCGCAUGGUUCAAUAGUGAAAGACGGUUUUGCUGUCACUUAUAGAUGGAUCCGCGCCGCAUUAGCUAGUUGGUAAGGUAACGGCUUACCAAGGCAACGAUACGUAGCCGACCUGAGAGGGUGAUCGGCCACACUGGAACUGAGACACGGUCCAGACUCCUACGGGAGGCAGCAGUAGGGAAUCUUCCGCAAUGGGCGAAAGCCUGACGGAGCAACGCCGCGUGAGUGAUGAAGGUCUUCGGAUCGUAAAACUCUGUUAUUAGGGAAGAACAAAUGUGUAAGUAACUAUGCACGUCUUGACGGUACCUAAUCAGAAAGCCACGGCUAACUACGUG